rnacentral:rRNA from 1 species
AAAGGGGCUUCGGCCCUGAGUAAAGUGGCGCACGGGUGAGUAACACGUGGGUAAUCUGCCUCUGAGAUUGGGAUAACCUGUCGAAAGACGGGCUAAUACCAAAUAAGACCACGACUUCUUCGGGAGUUGAGGUCAAAGGUAGCCUCUAUUUAUAAGCUAUCGCUCGGAGAUGGGCCCGCGCACCAUUAGCUAGUUGGUGGGGUAAUGGCCUACCAAGGCAAAGAUGGUUAGCUGGUCUGAGAGGAUGAUCAGCCGCACUGGAACUGAGACACGGUCCAGACUCCUACGGGAGGCAGCAGUGGGGAAUAUUGCGCAAUGGGCGAAAGCCUGACGCAGCAACGCCGCGUGAGUGAUGAAGGCCUUCGGG